rnacentral:misc_RNA from 1 species
UUUCCGUAGGUGAACCUGCGGAAGGAUCAUUACCGAAUCGUCAACAAGAGCUGUUGCUGGCCUCCGUAUGGGGGCAUGUGCACGCUCUGUUACACAUCCACUCACACCUGUGCACCCUCUGUAGUUCUAUGGCCUGGGUGGGCUCUGUCCUCCUGCUGUGGUUCUACGUCUUUACACACACACUACGAUAAAGUCUCAUGGAAUGUAUGUCGCGUUUAACGCAAUGAAAUACAACUUUCAGCAACGGAUCUCUUGGCUCUC